GAUGAACGCUGGCGGCGUGCCUAAUACAUGCAAGUCGAGCGAAUGGAUUAAGAGCUUGCUCCUAUGAAGUUAGCGGCGGACGGGUGAGUAACACGUGGGUAACCUGCCCAUAAGACUGGGAUAACUCCGGGAAACCGGGGCUAAUACCGGAUAACAUUUUGAACCGCAUGGUUCGAAAUUGGAAGGCGGAUUCGGCUGUCACUUAUGGAUGGACCCGCGUCGCAUUAGCUAGUUGGUGAGGUAACGGCUCACCAAGGCAACGAUGCGUAGCCGGCCUGAGAGGGUGAUCGGCCACACUGGGACUGAGACACGGCCCAGACUCCUACGGGGGGCAGCAGUAGGGAAUCUUCCGCAAUGGACGAAAGUCUGACGGAGCAACGCCGCGUGAGUGAUGAAGGCUUUCGGGUCGUAAAACUCUGUUGUUAGGGAAGAACAAGUGCUAGUUGAAUAAGCUGGCACCUUGACGGUACCUAACCAGAAAGCCACGGCUAACUACGUGCCAGCCGCCGCCGUAA
rnacentral:rRNA from 1 species